UACGUAGGGAGCAAGCGUUGUCCGGAAUUACUGGGCGUAAAGGGUGCGUAGGUGGCCAAAUAAGUCAGGUGUGAAAGACCGGGGCUCAACCCCGGGGUUGCACUUGAAACUGUAUGGCUUGAGUACAGGAGAGGGAAGUGGAAUUCCUAGUGUAGCGGUGAAAUGCGUAGAUAUUAGGAGGAACACCAGUGGCGAAGGCGACUUUCUGGACUGUAACUGACACUGAGGCACGAAAGCGUGGGGAGCAAACAGGAUUAGAUACCCUGGUAGUCCACGCCGUAAACGAUGGAUACUAGGUGUGGGGCCCGAUAGGGUUCCGUGCCGAAGCAAACGCAUUAAGUAUCCCGCCUGGGGAGUACGAUCGCAAGGUUGAA
rnacentral:rRNA from 1 species